UUUUAGUGGAUGACUGUGGUAUAAAUGACUAUGGAUCCCAGACGUACAGAUGUAAACAGCUACCAGGUGGACCUAAUGUAGCUCUUAAUAAACCAUCCACAGACAGUUCAUCGUUCUUCGGAAAAACCUUGGCGAGUUGGGCUAAUGACGGUGUUGUACAAACUUCCGGUCACGAGUGUCAACAUACGCAUUAUGAUGACAGCAACCCCUGGUGGCAAGUUGAUUUACAGGCCACAUAUAAUAUUACCAGUGUUACCAUUGCUAACAGAUUCGAAUAUAAGGAAGAUCGCUUGAGGAAUACGAGUAUCCUAGUCUAUGAAACCGAACCAUCAACAUCAACACCAUUUACAUUAUGUAAAUUUAUACCUGGAGAAUUUGGUCGUACUAUUCGUACCAUAGAAUGUGAUGGAGUAACUAUUGGUCAAUGGGUUAGAAUUACAAAACCUACCAUCUAUUUAACUCUAUGUGAAGUUGAAGUCACGGGAACACUAAUUUAAAGAGGGUGGUCAGGGAGAACGCUAAAAAAAAAGAAAGAAAUUGCGCUUUGAUAUAUACACUUCAAAAAAAAAGUAGGGGAUAUUCAGAAACAAUACAAAACUGCGGAAAUGCACUGCUAUUUUUAUUAGAGGUAACCAGUGUAUGUUAAUAACAGGUCAAUUGCCUACACAUGAACAUAAACAGUUCAUAUUGGCGGGUUAUCUGACGGCCAGGUUUCACUCGCAAAGAGAUACACUGUCAAAUGUGAAAAUGGACGUUUUUGUUUUUGUCUUAAUAAUGAGUAAUUGCUCCACCAAUCCUCAGACAUUCAGCAAUUCGUCGUGGCAUGCUCCUAAUCAACCGUCCAAUCACGAUUUGGGGCAAUCUGACCCACUCCUCUUGCAGUGACACGGCCAAUUCUUCCAGUGUUGACGUUGACGUCGACGAACACGUCUCCCGGUCACGUUCCAGAAUGCUCUACAGAGGAAAGGCUUGUGUAGUGGCUCUAGGACGACCUGAACGAGGUCUAUCAUCAACAUUGUGUGUUUGUUGGUACCGGUUCCACAGUCUGUUGAUCACAGACUGUGACACAUUAAGCAUGUUGGCUACCGCUCAAUGUGUAGAACCAAUUUGAAGCAUGCCAAUAGCAUGUAGACGUUCAUCGUGUUGAAGACGUCUCAUUGCAAAUUAAACGUAACACACUAACGCAAAGAUAAGCUUAACAGUAAUCUUAUGCAAGAACCGAUAGGAAAGCAAACAUGGAUAGGAUAAACCAGCACGAGGCAGUUUUUAUCAACCCUUCCUUGAAGUGUCAAAUUUGACAAUCGCACGCGCAGCUCAGUGGUUCUGUUUGAGCGAUAAGUUCUUCAUCUGUGAACAUACUCUCAAAGCAUGUUAAGUGUCCAUGACUAUCAUAUCACAACCUGCAUAGGUAUUUGCAUUUCAAUAUCCCCUACUUUUUUUAAGAGUAUAUAUAAGAGCAAAAGAAGGACAUUUUAAAAAUCAUCUCUGGAAAUAAUAUUUACGAUUAACAUUUAGUUUGGAAUCGUUAUUCGGGAUUCGGCAAUAAAACUAGACCGGCUUACCUUUCAUUCCAUCAUUUUCUCGCUCUGACAGUAGGGGUAAGUGAACGUGGGGUGGUCGACUAGCAAGGAAUGAAGUAAGAUCUGACUCUGACAGUAGGGGUAAAUGAACAUGGGGUGGUUGACUAGGAAGAGAUGUAGUAAUUUGACCUGGCUCUGACAGUAUGGGUAAGUGAACAUGGGGUGGUUGACUAGCAAGAAAUGAAGUAAUUUGACCUGACUCUGACAGUAGGGGUAAGUGAACGUGGGGUGGUCGACUAGCAAGGGAUGAAGUAAUUUGACUGAAAUUUCUAACAUGUUUCAACUAUCAGCUCUUUAUCUAAAUCUUGCAUUUUGCAUAUUUAAUGAACCAAACUUGCAAAUAUGGACUUUUGCUCUGCAAUCGUCCCGUAACUGUUCUACACGUGUUGGCGUUGGCAUCAGAAUUAGUGUGUGAACAACUCGACACCUGGUAUGUAACAGGUUGGUUACACCUGGCGUCAGGUAAUUAAACUUUCAAGUAUAUAUAUUUUAAUUGAGAUAUCUGGCCGCCAUUUUCAUUAAUUUGUAAAAUCUCCAUCACCUUCAUCCAAGCACCAAUCUGAUUAAAACACAGAUCCUAUUUCGUUUCGUUUUUUAUAGUUCAAAAUUUCGUUUUGCUUGUCUUUACUACACUAGGAUCUGGAAGAGUUGUUAUAUUACCGGCGUUCUCAUUGAAGUGAGAGAUUAGCCAAUGAAACGGUCUGUUACAGUGAGUUUUUGGCGUUUGAUGCACGGAACUGCCACUACAACCGGUCAGAUCUUCAUAUACAGUAGGCCAUUGAAAGUAUAAAAAAGCGAAACGAAAUAUAGAUCUGUACUUUAAUCAGAUUGUCAAAACAAUUCACAUUUACAAAGUUUAAUUAGAAUGAAUAGUUAUUUAAAUUUGAAAAUCUGUUAAAUAGAUUGAGAGACGGGGAGAUUUAUGGUAAAUUCUUUGUUAAGAGAAAUCUUGUUUUUAACCAAUUUAGGAAUCUUUUCAUAAUAAUUAUUGGAAAAGGGACUAUAUGCCACUAAAGGAUUAUGUUCAACAUCAGUAUGGAGACGAGACAGUUAAGGGUGGGCGUCAGCUUAGUAAACUAGAAGGGGAAUAUAUUCAAGUCUUUAAUACAUAGACCCACAAGUUUACUAAAUGUCAUUGUGCUUGCAUAACGAUAAGAGGAUACUUAUCGAAACGUCGUGCUUGUGUAUAAUAAAACAGUGAUUGUUGUCCCGUAUAACUGUGUUAGUUCUGUGUUAGUUUCCAAUCGCUAAAUGCCACUAAAUGAAAUGAAAUGAAAUGGAGUUUAACGUCCUACUGUUCUGCUCCUAACCUGGGCUAAUGAAGACGGGCAUACGCCAUACAGUGUGCUAUGAGGGAAAUUUUGCCCGGACAGCGGCACUACGGCCUACUCUUAUAUCGAAUUCCAACUGCCAAGGGAUCUUUUACGUGCACGCCAAUGUGUACACGGGACCUCGGUUUUUCGUCCCAUCCGAACGACUAGAUAGCUUUCCUUGUCAGGCCCUCCGUCCUGCAUCACUGACAAGGGGAAACCACGCCGGAAAAUCUGGAUGAACUUUCUCGGCCAAUGCAGGGAUCGAACACCCGACCUCCAGGCUAGCGAGCUAGCGUCUUACCCACUUAGCCACGUGAUCCCCUAAAUGCCACUAAAGGAUUAAGUUUAAUAUCAUCAGUGACAUUGGAAAAAUAAUUAUUCAUAAUAUAAGCAGCACUAUCAGUUAAAUCAUCAUAUCCUUUAUCAUCUGAUUCAUUAGACAAAUCGUUUAUUUCUCUUAGCAUUGUUAAAACAUUUCCAGAUAAGUUUUAAAUAUUUGUUGUUAUCUUGAAUGGUAGUUUUGAUAUAUUUAGGAUUAGAACUUGUUGUUAUUUUUUUUUUAUUUUGUUUCGCCAGAGUUUGCAGUUGAUAUGAUUCUCUUGCUUUUCGAGCGUUAUUGAUUUUCAAAUUAAACCAUUCUGCUUUUUUAUUCGUUUUCGUUUUGUGGGCGCAUGCAGAUUAAGAAUAGCAUUAAACAAUUUAUUCCUUACUUCUAAUGCUAUAUUUAGGUUAUCUAGACUCUCAAUAUCUGAAAAGCUUUGAAGAGAAAGAUCAUUUUAAAAUAUUAUACCAUUUUAGACUGGAGGCAGAUAGCUAUGGUAUGAGUUUAUUUAAAAAAGCAAAUUAAAUCGUUUAUGAAAUAUUGUAGUGAGAAUAACAGGAAAUUGGGUCUAAAGAUAAAUUCCUACUGUCCAUUUAAGGAUAGAGCUAACGUCAUUAAGCACGAGAGUCAAUCAUUCAUUAUAUUUGGCCAAUCAAACAACAAACCAAAAAACCAAAGGGUAGAAAACCAUCAGGGCUGUGGGCGAUUGGCAGGCAUCAGACAGAUUCUUAGAAGGGAAGAUGUAGCAAUUUCUAUAAGCACGCUUGCUGUGGCGAUUUCGGUGGUCUUGA